GAAAAGAGGGAAAGAAGCUUACCUGGUGCUGUCGCGGUGUCCCCUCUCCGUCGCAAUCGGAGGCCGGGGCGUCAUCGGAGGCCAAAGGUCGGCCUAGCGGCGUCGACAAUAGGAAAAUUGAAAAACCCUAGCAGAGAAGGCUAGGGUGGUUUGGUGUUUUAAUAUAAACUGUUUUUUUAUUUUUUUAUUUUUUAUUUUUGGGUUUUAUAACAGACCAAACGACGCCGUUUUGAAAGGGGCCAGACCCGCGUGUCGACCCGACCUGCAACAGGGUCCGCGCGUUCUGGCCCUAAAUGGGGAAUUUACGCAUUUGGUCCCCCGUUUUUUAUUUGAUUUUAAUACAGUUAUUUCAUGUAUUUUCAAUUCAACAACGAAAUUUCUUUCCUGCUUCAAUUUGGUCCAGGGGCCAUGUGCCUACAACCACUAGAACGGCGCCGUUUGGCCAGCGCGGGGAUAUUUAUUUCUCUGGUCCUUCCCCUUUCAGGCGCAAUUUAAUUUGGCCCUUUUGUUUUUUUAAUUUUUGACCCUAAAAGUCUGUUUAAUUUUGAUUUAGUCCCCAUUUGUUGUUAUUAUUAUUAUUACUACUAUAUAUACAUACGC
rnacentral:lncRNA from 1 species